ACUUGUUUACGUAUAAAUCGGUAUUUGUCGUUAGUUCACGUUGAAAAACACACUUUUUACCAGACCAAGGGCUUCUCUCUCUUAACACACCUCUAUCCUUUAGAGAGAGAGGGAGAUUUCCGGUUCACCGGAAUUAUCGCCGCCGCUUUUGUUCUGUAAUAUAGAAGUUUUCCGACUGCAGUCAGAUUGUUGUUUUUCCGCUUCGUCGGACCAAUCUCCGGUUAAUCCGGAUCUAAUAAGAUCCAAUUUGGUUACUUAAGAUUGGAUCAAGUUUUUUUUGUUUCCUCUUUCUACAAGGCUUUCAAUCCAUUAUCCUCUUGCGAUCUCUGGAUCUCUUCCUCCUACCGUCGGCUUGCCUCCUCUCUUUGAUCGGAGUAACAUCUUCGCCGCUUCAUAUGACUCUGUUGUAGUCGAGGACUUUCUUUUGGUCUCAGGCGGAGCUUCCAAUUUAGGAGAUUGGGUUAAGGGAUAAAGAUUUCUUCAAGUCUUCUUUGAGCUUCUUUCAGACGGAACCGGUGAUUGUUCAUCAGAUCUGCAAGACGAAAACUGUAGAAGGAGUACGGUGGUGGUUGCUUGAAGCCAACGGAGGUGCUGAGUCAACUCGCAGAUUUGCCCGGCGCCGACUGCUUCUCCUUCUCCUUCUUAUGUGUUAACACGUGGUGUUACACGUGGUGUUACACGUGGUGGCUCCUUAUUUUCUUAAUCUUUUACUUUAUUUAGUUUAAGAUUAAGCAGUUGUUAACCUAAUCAAGGAUGUAUAUGUUGGAGAAUGGGCUUAUGUAAUUUUCACUUCUUUGUACUGCCCAUUGGGCUUCCGUUUUAAUGGAAUUUGGCCGACUAAAAACAAAAAAAGCCUUCUACUUUACAGAUGAGAAG